rnacentral:rRNA from 1 species
GAUGAACGCUGGCGGCGUGCCUAAUACAUGCAAGUCGAGCGAACAGAUGAGGAGCUUGCUCCUCUGACGUUAGCGGCGGACGGGUGAGUAACACGUGGAUAACCUACCUAUAAGACUGGGAUAACUUCGGGAAACCGGAGCUAAUACCGGAUAAUAUAUUGAACCGCAUGGUUCAAUAGUGAAAGACGGUUUUGCUGUCACUUAUAGAUGGAUCCGCGCCGCAUUAGCUAGUUGGUAAGGUAACGGCUUACCAAGGCAACGAUGCGUAGCCGACCUGAGAGGGUGAUCGGCCACACUGGAACUGAGACACGGUCCAGACUCCUACGGGAGGCAGCAGUAGGGAAUCUUCCGCAAUGGGCGAGAGCUUGACGGAGCAACGCCGCGUGAGUGAUGAAGGUCUUCGGAUCGUAAAACUCUGUUAUUAGGGAAGAACAAAUGUGUAAGUAACUAUGCACGUCUUGACGGUACCUAAUCAGAAAGCCACGGCUAACUACGUG